rnacentral:rRNA from 1 species
AGAACGAACGCUGGCGGCGUGGAUAAGACAUGCAAGUCGAACGGGAUUAUUUUUGUAGCAAUACAGAAAUAAUUCAGUGGCGAACGGGUGCGUAACACGUGGGCAAUCUGCCGAAAAGUGGGGGAUAGCUCGCCGAAAGGCGAAUUAAUACCGCAUGUGGUGAGGGACGACAUCUUCCUGAAUCCAAAGCCGGGGUCAAACCUGGCGCUUUUUGAGGAGCCCGCGGCCUAUCAGCUAGUUGGUGAGGUAACGGCUCACCAAGGCUUUGACGGUAGCUGGUCUGAGAGGACGACAGUCACACUGGAACUGAGACACGGUCCAGACACCUACGGGUGGCGAGCGAAGUCGAAGAAGUUUUUCUCGAAUGGGGGGACCAACCCGUGGAAGGAGCCGAACGCCCGCGUGGGAGGACGAGGAAGGCGUUUCGGGUUA